rnacentral:rRNA from 1 species
GGGCCCGCACAAGCGGUGGAGCAUGUGGUUUAAUUCGACGCAACGCGCAGAACCUUACCAGGCCUUGACAUCCUGUGCUCGCCGGAGAGAUCCGGUUUCCCCGCAAGGGGCGCAGAGACAGGUGCUGCAUGGCUGUCGUCAGCUCGUGUCGUGAGAUGUUGGGUUAAGUCCCGCAACGAGCGCAACCCUCGCCUUUAGUUGCCAUCAUUCAGUUGGGCACUCUAAAGGGACCGCCGGCGACAAGCCGGAGGAAGGUGGGGAUGACGUCAAGUCCUCAUGGCCCUUACGGCCUGGGCUACACACGUGCUACAAUGGCGGUGACAGUGGGCAGCUAACCCGCGAGGGCAAGCUAAUCCCAAAAAACCGUCCCAGUUCAGAUUGCACUCUGCAACUCGGGUGCAUGAAGGUGGAAUCGCUAGUAAUCGCAGAACAGCAGGCUGCGGUGAAUACGUUCCCGGGCCUU